rnacentral:tRNA from 1 species
CGCUGGUUAGCUCAGUUGGUAGAGCGCUCCACCUAUAAUGGAGAGGUCCCGGGUUCGAUACCCGGACCAGGCGG